rnacentral:lncRNA from 1 species
GCUCAGGUACAGAUAGGAACGUCUCUAUAGCAGCCCAGGCUUCAAUGGGAACCAGCAGCUGAAUGUCUACCAAAACUCCCUGACAGAUUUUGUUGACCAUAUGGAGUACCAUACUGUCAUUCUAAACAGCGAAUUUGACCAAAGAUGACAGGUUUAAAGCUGCAUCAGAUACAUCUUCACUCCCAUCUCUGGAUACAGAAAUAGUCUGAGCUGAGUCAUCGGGUUCUGAAGGACAGCAGGGUCCUGUGAAGUGCUUCCAGCUGUGACCUACCACCUGUAAGGAAGGCAGCAAGAAGUACAUGGACUAAAACUGGGCACUAUAUGUAGCAAAUUGAGAUAUUUUCAGUAUUUUUAACUUUCGUGAAAUAGGACAGUGGAAACAAGCUACAAGAAAGCAAGUUAUUAGGUACACAAACAGAAAUCCGGAGGCCUGCAGUUAUAGCAGCAGCUCAGCCAGCCCAGCACUCACACCUCCCGAAGCAGCCCGCAGCCGAGCCCG